rnacentral:rRNA from 1 species
GGUGAACGCUGGCGGCGUGGAUUAGGCAUGCAAGUCGAGCGAGAACCGUAGCAAUACGGGGACAGCGGCGAAAGGGACAGUAAUGUGUAGGUACCUACCCCCGGGUUCGGGACGGCUGCGGGAAACUGCAGGUAAUACCGAAUAAUGUCUCCGGACCAAAGGUGUGAUUCCACCUGGGGAGGGGCCUGCGUCCUAUUAGCUUGUUGGUGGGGUAACGGCCUACCAAGGCGAAGAUGGGUAGCGGGGGUGAGAGCAUGACCCGCGUCAGUGGGACUGAGACACGGCCCAGACACCUACGGGUGGCUGCAGUCGAGAAUCUUCGUCAAUGGGCGCAAGCCUGACCGAGCGACGCCGCGUGCGGGAUGAAGGCCUUCGGGUUGUAAACCGCUGUCGUAGAGGAGGAAAUGCAGGGGGGUUCUCCCCUUUGCUUGACCUAUUCUAGGAGGAAGUACGGGCUAAGUUCGUGCCAGCAGCCGCAGUAA